GAUCCGGUAGCGUAACUAGGAGAGCGUCCGACUUGUAACCGGACGGACCGGGUUCGAUUCCUGGCUAGGUUU
rnacentral:tRNA from 1 species